rnacentral:rRNA from 1 species
UACUUAGGGGGCUAGCGUUGUCCGGAAUCAUUGGGCGUAAAGCGCGUGUAGGCGGUCCGGUAAGUCCGCUGUGAAAGUCGGGGGCUCAACCCUCGAAUGCCGGUGGAUACUGUCGGGCUAGAGUGCGGAAGAGGCGAGUGGAAUUCCUGGUGUAGCGGUGAAAUGCGCAGAUAUCAGGAGGAACACCAAUUGCGAAGGCAGCUCGCUGGGACGUUACUGACGCUGAGACGCGAAAGCGUGGGGAGCAAACAGG